CAGCAAUCAAAGGGUUAAAGGGACACUAGAGGCACCAGACAAGACUUUGUGUUUUAGCUGACAGUAAGUGUAUGAGUUAUCAUUGACCUUGACCUACCAACAGCACAGCACUCCUAAAAACACAGAGAAAAUGAUGAAAAUCAUACUUUUAUCAGGAUUCCAUGAUAACCUCUCUAAAACUGAACUCCUUGUCUUUCCUCCUCCUAAUACCGAUCCUCCUCUCUCGCUCUCCCUUCAAGUCAGUGAUAUCCACAUAAGUCCAU